rnacentral:tRNA from 1 species
CGGGAUGUAGUAUAGUGGUAGUACGUAUGGCUGGGGGUCAUAAAGCCCGGAUUCAAUUUCCGGCAUCCCGA